GGUGAACGCUGGCGGCGUGCUUAAGACAUGCAAGUCGAACGGCAGUCUUCGGACCGUAGUGGCGCACGGGUGAGUAACGCGUAACUGACCUACCCCAAAGCCGCGGAUAACGAUUCGAAAGAAUCGCUAAUACGUGAUGUGCUGCCAGAUUGUGUUCUGCCAGUAAAGAUUGAUUGCUUUGGGAUGGGGUUGCGUUCCAUCAGCUAGUUGGUGGGGUAAAGGCCCACCAAGGCGGCGACGGAUAGCCGGCCUGAGAGGGUGGCCGGCCACAGGGGCACUGAGACACGGGUCCCACUCCUACGGGAGGCAGCAGUUAGGAAUCUUCCACAAUGGGCGAAAGCCUGAUGGAGCGACGCCGCGUGAGGGAUGAAGGUCUUCGGAUCGUAAACCUCUGAAUCAGGGACGAAAGACACUUCGGUGGGAUGACGGUACCUGAGUAAUAGCACCGGCUAACUCCGUGCCAGCCGCCGCCGUAACAC
rnacentral:rRNA from 1 species